rnacentral:rRNA from 1 species
GAUGAACGCUAGCUACAGGCUUAACACAUGCAAGUCGAGGGGCAUCAGGAAGAAAGCUUGCUUUCUUUGCUGGCGACCGGCGCACGGGUGAGUAACACGUAUCCAACCUGCCCUUUACUCGGGGAUAGCCUUUCGAAAGAAAGAUUAAUACCCGAUAGUAUAAUGAUUCCGCAUGGUUUCAUUAUUAAAGGAUUCCGGUAAAGGAUGGGGAUGCGUUCCAUUAGGUUGUUGGUGAGGUAACGGCUCACCAAGCCUUCGAUGGAUAGGGGUUCUGAGAGGAAGGUCCCCCACAUUGGAACUGAGACACGGUCCAAACUCCUACGGGAGGCAGCAGUGAGGAAUAUUGGUCAAUGGGCGCUAGCCUGAACCAGCCAAGUAGCGUGAAGGAUGAAGGCUCUAUGGGUCGUAAACUUCUUUUAUAUAAGAAUAAAGUGCAGUAUGUAUACUGUUUUGUAUGUAUUAUAUGAAUAAGGAUCGGCUAACUCCGUGCCAGCAGCCGCGGUAAUACGGAGGAUCCGAGCGUUAUCCGGAUUUAUUGGGUUUAAAGGGAGCGUAGGUGGACUGGUAAGUCAGUUGUGAAAGUUUGCGGCUCAACCGUAAAAUUGCAGUUGAUACUGUCAGUCUUGAGUACAGUAGAGGUGGGCGGAAUUCGUGGUGUAGCGGUGAAAUGCUUAGAUAUCACGAAGAACUCCGAUUGCGAAGGCAGCUCACUGGACUGCAACUGACACUGAUGCUCNGAAGUGUGGGUAUCAAACAGG